rnacentral:tRNA from 1 species
GGAGAGGUGCAGGAGUGGUUGAACUGGCCGCUCUCGAAAAGCGGUAAGGCCUCACGGUCUUCGAGGGUUCGAAUCCCUCUCUCUCCGCCA